CAUCAAUCUCAUUUGUCUCAAGUAUUCAAGUACUACUUUGGAUAUUUACUUGUUUGUUUUGGUACUUCCUUCAGGACAAAUUAUUUUCUUCCAAGAAUGUCUCUUCAGGGAUUCUAACUGGGGCUAUUAACAAUCACUAAUGUCUAUAUACAGAAUAAUUCAUCUGCAAUAAAAACUUUUUAAAUCAAUUUCUGGGUCAGAGUUGGGAAGUCAAUGAGUUGGAUUUUAUACUUACUUCCCUCACCAAAAAUGAUACAACAGUAAGGGGUUCCUAACUAAAACUCUAUUAGUACUUUAGAAUUUAUACUAAAUCUACUCUUGAAUAUUUCCCUAGGUCAAACAUCUCUCAAUACAAGAAUGCUAUUUUGUUAUACUAUUAAUAAUGUUGAAGUGCAUAAGAUUUUAUAAUAUACUAAUAUUUUACAUGUAUGUUUUCAAACUCCUGACCUCAGGUGAUCUGCCUGCCUCAGCCUCCCGAAGUGCUGAGAUUACAGGCGUGAGCCACCGUGCCUGGCCAUAUUUUACAUGUGUUUUCUAUCGGGCAAUUGGUGGGAUCAUUUCUUUUAUCAUUCAUAGUAGCGUUUAGGCCAUUUUUUUCCUUUUUUCUUAUCACCACCAUUUGGGACAGGGAGUAUGGUUGCUGUGCUGUUUUUGCUGUUGUUGAUUUUCUCUCUCUCUCUCUCUCUCCCUCUGUCUCUGUCUCUAUGUGUGUGUGUGUGUGUGUGUGUGUGUAUGUAUAUAUAUAUAUUUUUUUACUAUUGUGCAGAUACAGUUGAGGUGCAUAAAGAGAAGGAGUAUGAUGUGCAAGGCACACACCUGUACUCAGCUGAGUGCCACAAUACACAGAAGCCCGAAAUAGCUGUCGGAAGCCGGUGGCGGCUGCACUGCUGCUCCUAAUAUACACUUCCUUGCACCUGUGUCCUGAGCCCUUUGCCGAGUGACUUGGCUGUGCCCCUGGUGAGAAGAGUGCAGCAGACAGGAUCACAUGCCUCCAACGUGGGAAGGGGAACACGUCGACCCUAGGCAAGCAGAGGGCCUUAGCAUGCUGACUCUGCAGGCUCAUCCUGGGGCCUGCCUGAGCAGCCGUGUGGGCACCGGGACUGCAGUCCUUUCCCCUGCCUGCCCCAGCCCCACCAUCUCUUGCCUGGAGGUCAUUUGGCCACCCUCUUAGUGUCAAAGGCAGAAGCUAUGAGAAAGAAGGAUAGGAGAGGGAUGCGGACCAGUUUUCAAAUCCGGCAGGAGGAGCAAGGUCCUGGGGAGCAUGUGGUGGAAGGACUUUAAGGAAACUACAUCAUCAUUACGAAGACUGGGGAGCAACAGCGUCAUGGGCACCGCUCUGCUCUGCAUGAAGGAGUCCGACAGCUGCCAGCGGGGAGCUUUGGUGGUGCCAAAUCCCCUGGAGAGAGGAGGCUGCAGCCCCAGGCAGCAGGGAGCCCUGGAGGAAGCUGCCUCUGCAGACUCGCGGGAAUGCCAGCUCCGGGUUUCAUUCCUUUGUUCACUGCUGCUUCCCAAGUGCCAGACGGAGCCUGGAACUCAGUGGCUGCUCUAAAGAUACUGUUGAAUGAGUAAAUGAACGGAAUUGCACAGGAGCGAGGCCACAGUUCUACAGCUGAGCUGCCUGUCACGGCCCUCACCCAACCACCACUGCUGGAAAUGUGCAGACAGGGUGUGCCUCUCCCGUUUAAGGGAAAUGUAUUGAGAUAUCAUUCACAUACAUGGCACGUGCUCAGGGAGCCCCCCAGGAUGACAGAGCUCACCCAUCACCCCACAGAACGUCUCUGCCCCAUCCAGGCAGGCCCCAGAGUACACUGGGUCUGGCUUCUUUAGUCAGAGGUGGUUUGAGUGAGUCUAGAGACUUCAUAGAAUCUGGGUCACAGAGCAGGCACCCUUUUCCAUCUGGUGUCUUCCACUCAGCGUAGCGGUCCCGAGAUCCAGCGUGUCUCUGCUAGGAUCAGCGGUUUGCUCCUUGGUGUUGCUGAGGAAAAUUCUACUGCAUGGAACACCACCAUCUAUCCACACUGGAUAGACACCAGAUGAGUGCUUCCGCCUGCUGUGAAUGAAGCUCCUAUGAACAGUCUCAUAUUAGGUAUGAAAGGAAAAUAAAUCAAUCACUAAACAAAGGGGAAAGUCAAGCUGGGAGCUGCCUCCCAUCCUAUUCCUAAAUAAGAUAGCUACAAAGAUAAAAACGCUGUUCCUCCCUCACAAUUUGCUCACAAGGAACUUCCUUGUGGAACAAGGACAGACAGAACUCAAUCAUCCCUCCGCUCACAUGAGACAAACACAGAUCGGAAUGCUUCCUCCGCCCUGUUGUUUCACCCAGCCAGACUAAGGCAUACGUAACUAUUCCAGUAAAUUGUGCAUUCGGUGAAAGGCUAAUCAGAAACUUAAAAGAAUGCAGCCAUUUGUCUCUUAUCUACCUACAACCUGGAAGCCCCCUGCGCGCUUUGACUUGUCCUGUCUUUCCAGAUAGAACCAAUGUACAUCAUACAUAUAAUGAUUGAUGUCUCAUGUCUCCCUAAAAUGUAUAAAACCAAGCUGUUCCCCGACCACCAUCACCAGGACCUCCUGAGGCUGUGUCACGGCACGUCCUCAACCUUGGCAAAAUAACUUUCUAAAUUUAUUGAGACUUGUCUCAGAUACUUUUUGGUUUACAAAGGUGUUUGUGGACAUGUAUAUUCAUUUCUCAUAGAUAAGUACCUAGAAGUUGAAUUGCUUAGACAUGAGUAAAUGUAUGUUUAACUUUUUCAGAAACUCCCGAACAUAUUUCCAAACUAUACCGUUUUACACUCUGUCAGCAGAAUUUAAAAGUUUCCACUGAACCACAUCCUUGUCAACGUUUGGUAUUGUCAAUAUGUUUAAGUUAUUGAUAUUGUUCUAGUGAAUGUGUAGAGACAUCUCGUUUUGGUUUUAAUUUGCAUUUUCCUAAUGAGGAAUAAUACUGAGAAAUUUUUUCUUUCAUAUUGUCAUAUAUGUGUCUUCUUUCUUAAAGUGCCUAGUCAAAUAUUUUGCUCAUUUUUUAUUGCUUUUUAUUAUAAACUGUGUUUUUUUAAAUAUUAUCUUAACACACGUCUUUUGGCUGAUAUAAUAUUGUAAAUAUUUUCUCCCAUUCUGUGGUCUACUUAUUGUUUCCUAAUGCUGUCUUUUGAAGAGCAAAAUAUUUUUCUCCAUUUAUGGAGACAAGAUGGUCAACUUAGCUAUUCCAAAAUGUUUUUAAAAUUCUAGUUUGUUUUAAAACAACCACAGCAAACUGCAUGGAUUUGUUCCACAUCUUUGAAAGAAAAACAUUAUUUUAUUUAUUUCACAGUGGAAGAUAAGUCAGUAAGGCCCCACUUCGGCAGGUUUUGUUUUCGUUUCCUCAUGCCUCUGCAAUGCUCGGAGUCACCCACGCCUUACUCACUGCGGCUGGAACGAACCCAGACUCCUCACUCCUCCCACAGCCUCUGGCGCAGGGCGCUCCUUGCUUGAAAGAAACGUUUGCGAUUUUUAGUGGAAACGUCCGUGUUUUCUUGGUAACUGGUAAAUGGCUGUAGAUUACUGACACGCGGUCCUUUGUACGUAACAGAAGGCUUUGAGUGUUUCUGUGAGGAUCACCCUGUGAAGAAACGGCUGCAGUGAGAGCAGCCGAGGCGGGACGCAGCCCCGGACGUGGGGUCAGAGAGGAGCCGUGCGUGGGGUCAGAGAGGAGCCGUGCGUGGGGUCAGAGAGGAGCCGUGCGUGGGGUCAGAGAGGAGCCGUGCGUGGGGUCAGAGAGGAGCUGAGUUCAGGACGGGCAUGGCAGCCGCAGGAGGAGGGCAAGGCGGAGCCCAGGAGGGGCAAAGUGGACAAAGCCAGGGCUGGAGAGGGGAGACCCAGGAUCAGCACCACGUUCCACGGGGAUGGCACAGAAGCCUGAGAGGCCACGGCCAAAUGUGGAAAUUGGCUUUGCCAAAUCUUGCAUUUCAGAGAGAAAAGGCAAUAUGGCAUUAAUGCUUGCCUUGUUUAAUUUUCGUAAUUUUCCCUUUCUUCCUGCCAAUAGCUUGCUUUGUUAUCCGGAGGGUAGCCACGGUUUUAGCUCACAGUGAUGUCAACUUGAAGCUUCUCUCCACAAGCAGCUGUGACCUCAGCUGCCGUGCAGUCAGCUUCCCCGGCCUCCCUCCCCAGCCUCCCUGGUCUCCCAGGCACAAGGCUGGGCACUGGCUUCAGAGUGGCUGCAAGGGCACGGCCCCCAGGCCUAGGGCUGAUCAGCGUGAACAGUACCCAGCACACUUGCUUCAAAAAGUAAGAAGAUAUAGAACACAAGCUGCUUGUUCUCAUGACUAUAGCACAAACUAUAAAACAAAACAUCUUCCUCCAGAACACGGCAAGCUGGAUGGACAGUGAUCUGGACAAAAAUUUGCUGUAGGUUUUGUAACUGGGGUUCAGUGAGGACCAGGCUCCCCAGAGCAUACAUGUGGAGACAAUUAAGUUGAUCCCAUUUUCCAAGACUCAGAGGAGAUGUAUUUAUAUUAGGAAUAUAAACUUGCUAUUAAUGCAACUUCAGAAUGUCCAGGUCAUCCGUUGGGAAAAAAAAAAGAGUAAGUCUAGGGCUGGUUCGUGCUGUUGCUACAUGGAGGGAAUCCACAUCCAAGCCUGCCGCUCACAUGCUGGGACACAUUGCCUCAGCCUCCAUCUCUGGGAGUCCCACGCUUUCUCUCCUGGGUUGUCCCACUAUUCCUUUUGAAGUCCUCAUGUUAGUGACAGUUCAAUUUUCUCUUCACCUUCAAAAUUGCAGAGAACCUAAUUUCUACUGACCAGUCAAGCUUGUUUCAUUUAUCUUCCAUGUUAACUUCAAUUAAAAUGUUAACCAUCUGGAAUCUUUGGCCUCUUAUGUGACAAAAAUAGGCAUUAAAUUGUAUCAUUUCUUAAAUUCUCUGUUGAAAAGUCCAAAUACGUUACUGAAUAUGAUACAGAUUAGUAAGAAUUUGGGCUCAUUAAAUGUAAGAUAAUUUCAUAGCUUAAGGUAAUUUCACACCCCAAGGGACUUAUAACCUAAACACAAAGCAGAUCACCAACAUUAACUGUCAGCUGUCCACUGGAGAACUAUCUCAGACAAAAAAAUAAAAUUUGGAUUAGCUCUCCAUGGUGCACAAUACUUUCAUGAACCAUCUCUUUUGGGUUGGCAGCUGCAGUGUGUUCUGAGAGUAUGUUAAUGCUACAAUAACAGUAAAAAUAAAAUUAAGUUGGGAACAUACAGAAAAAAAGAAAUUGAUUACAUUAUUCCUAAUGACGACCUGAAUCAAAGUUGGCACUAAAUAAAUUUUUGUCAGAAAGGAGAAAAGAAAUGAGAGAAAUAAAAGAGAGGAGGCAGGAUUUUAUAUUCUGCUCCCUUUUUGGAAAA
rnacentral:lncRNA from 1 species